CAGGUGAGAACAGUGAGGUUCUGAUAGCCCCGGACACUAGCACGCCCUUAGGUGGUGCCAGAGCUGGGAUCUGAAUCUGGCUCAUCCAUCCAACUCUAUGGCCUCAGCACCUUCACCCCCUUGGAAGGGACUUUAGGGAGACACGGGGAGUGGAGGGGUAUCCUGGGGACACGACGGGAUGUGGCUGCAGCAGACCUGCCGGUGAAUCCUUCUGACUCACCGUGUGACCGUAUGUGAGGCCUUCCCCGGUGAGCCUCAGUUCCUGGGCUGGACGCUGGGGAGAGCCGUCUCCACCCUGUCUGCCUCCCGAACAGCUUGCUCUGGAAACUCCCAUAGGAGGCAUUUGUGCGUAGGUGGCUGUGGGGUGAGAGGAGCAUUGCUGAUCAUUAUUUAAGCAAAGAUGACACUGGGCAGAAGGGGGCAGCGAGCCCAUUCCUGGGGAAACAGGAUGCAUCCCAGCCUGCGCUCUCCCCCCUCAGUCAGCUAAUCUCCCCAGGCCGACGCUGCUCCUCCUCCCGAUUCCAUCUGCCUCUUAAACGCGGGACUUCUCACUGAAACGUAUUCAAACCCGAACAUGCACUAAGGGAACUUCAGACAGGAGGAGAGGCAGCAGGUUGAGCUCUUGGGGUCCCUGGCGAGGCAGACGCUGCGGGUGGAGACAGUCCUUAGUUUGUCCUCGGUGCCACCACCCCUGUGGUACAAGAGACACUGAAGCAGCUGUAUGGGGUGGCAGCUCCAGGCUCGGCCAAGAGCAGGGCCCGAGGCAGGAGGUGAGGACUGGUGGUUCUCGUUCUGAAGUGGGCACCGAGAGCAGUUUUUCAAAACAACAGGAAAGAGAGAAGCGGAGGGCGGGCUGGGUUUGAAUCCUGCUUCCUCCACCAGCAAGCUGGGGGACCUUGGGCAGGUCUCUCCACCUCUCUGGCUCUCCCCCAGAGACUAUCAGACUGCUUAGGCGCGUGGUGCCGUCCUCAGAGCCCACCCCUGGAGGGAUCAUGCCUAAAGCUCUCAGCAUGUGCGCCCCAGGUGGUAGGUCCUCAGCUGAUGAUCCCUUGGCUUGGCCUGGGUGUUCUGGUCCUGGGUGGGUUGCACAGCUCUGCAGGCCCCAUUCUCCACCCCCGGAGAGGGGCUGAUCUGGCUGAGUGGCGGCAUCUUAGUGUCUCUGUGCUAGCCCUCGAAAGGGAAGUGCCCCACCCCCACACCCACCCCCAGCCCACGGCAGAUAUCGCUCCAGCAGCUUCCCUGGGCUCACACCAGGAUCUGCUGAUGAAAGGCCAGAAUUUGAACUCCAAGGCCAGUGUCCACCUCGAAUCUGCUACCUGCCCGGUCCAAGCUGGCAGUGCGACUCCUGGAGGCUAAAUCUUGGGGUUAAUCCCUGUAUUAGUUUUUUCCUCCUCUGAAAAGUGAGGAGGGCCACCCUGUCCUGUAGGUUGUUGGGAGGAUCUGGUGGUUUGAGGUGUGCUGUCAUCGAAAUCAUAACGUUCAGAGGCAGGGUCUGCAUCCAGUGCUCAUCGUGGUGACAUAACCUCAGCCCUGCACACAGGUUAGGGAAAUGAAUUUCAUCACCAUUCACAGGAGACACCUUCUUAAUUGACCCCCGGGUAUCUCCCAGGAUUCACCUGUACUUCUCGUAUAAAAUACCAAUGGAUGCCCUCAGCUGGCAGGCCCUUCUCUGGAAUGCCACAUCUCCUCCCACCAGCCACUGAACCGUCAGCUUACCAGACGUGAGUUGGAAUGUGUCCCAACCAGUUGGUGCCAGCUGGGUUUGCAUGGCUAUAGAACGUCAUUGGAGAUUAUGCCAGUCCUGGGCCAGUUUGCCCACAGAUCAGCUCUGCUCAUUCCCCUGUUUGGCUCUGUCACACAAGGGUUUGAUGGCACGGGCUGCAUUCCCCGAGCUCCUUGGCCAGCUGGUCCCCGCUACAUUCAACCAAUGGGAGGCACCAAGAGAAGAUGAAAAACAAAAGCAAGGGAGAAGCCAGGGUGUUUCUCCCCUCUAUUCUUUGUCUCAGGUGAUGUCUCCAUGUGGCUAAGUCUCCUCUGUGACUCUAGCAAAUGCCGGACUGGCCCACUAAGUUCCUGCUUCUGCUGGGGGCCCUGGUAACCCCACCUCUCUCCGUGUCCCUCUUACCCAAAGGGUGUCAGUGGCUGAACUGAUGCUCACACUGGGACUCCUCACUGUCUCUGUUUGGCUCCUCAGGUUGUCCCUCACCUGUGUUGCUAACACUCCCUGAAUUAACUUCCAGGACUCAAUAUGGCUCCUGUUUUCCUGGUUGGACUCCGACUGAUGAUAAUGCCAUGAGGUCAAUCGUGUGAUGCCGAACAGGAGCCUCUGCUUCUAUGAAAAUUGGGAAGAUUCAAUGAAGGCAAAUUGCUAAAAAAUAAAUUGAAUUUGGUAUGGGUGGGACAUUGUAAAGGAUGGAAAGAAAUAGUAAAAUCUAGAUGAUGCCAAAAAAAAAAAAAAAA
rnacentral:lncRNA from 1 species